AUGUCGCCCUUCGGGAAGUUCUUGUUCUGCUUGACCUUGUUCGCCGCCUGGCGCCUCAGCUCGACCCUGUUCGCCGAGGCACCUCCAGCUCCUGGUGUCGACUCCGCGUCCAGAAACGCAUCGUGCGUGGCCCUCGCCAGGGAGGCCGGCGUCCGGGCGGAAGGCGGCACGGGGAGCAACUUCGUCAUGUCGCCGCUGUCCAUCCACGCGGCGCUCGCGAAGGUGGCCGCCGGCGCGCGGGGCGACACGCUUAACGAGCUCCUGCGGUUCCUUGGGUCGGCGUCGCUCAACGAGCUACACCGCGCGGCGGCGACCAAGCUCGUCGGCAGGCUCAACGGCAUAGCGCAGACGUCCUUCGCCAGCGGCGUGUGGGUGGACCGGAUGCUGGCGCUCAAGCCAGAGUUCACGGCCAUCGCCGCGUCGCGGUACAACGCCACAGCAGAAUCCGUGGACUUCGUGUCGGAGGCCGAGCACGCGAGGCAGCGCGUGAACGCUUUCGUGGCGGACGCGACCAACAAGCAAAUCCUCGAAGUCCUGCCUCCGGGCUCCGUCGACUCCCGCACGGCGGUCGUCCUCGCCAACGCGCUCUACUUCAAAGGGGCGUGGACACAGCCGUUCGACGUCUCUACCGCGCCGUUCCACAUCCCAGGCGGCACCACCGUGCGCGUGCCAUCCAUGACGACAAGCGAGUCACAGCACAUCGCGGUCUACCCGGGCUUCAGGGCCCUCAAGCUGCCGUACAAGAACGACGUGCAGCAGCAAGCUGAAUUCUACAUGCUUAUCCUACUACCGGACAGGGACACUGUUACUCUCGCCGAUCUGUAUGACAAGGCCGUGUCGACGCCAGAGUUCAUCAAGACGCACACGCCGACAGGGAAGGUUCCAGUCGGGCAGUUCAUGGUCCCAAAGUUCAAGUUCACGUCCAAGUUCGAAGCGUCAUCCGACAUGCGGAAGCUUGGUGUCACUAGGGCUUUCGAAGGCGGCGACUUCUCGGGCAUGAUGACCGGCGGGGAAGGGCUUUCCAUCAACGGGGUGUACCACAAGGCCACUAUCGAGGUGGACGAGGUUGGCACCGUGGCCGCCACUGCCACGGCCAUCGUCGAGUUUGGUAGUGCAGGACCGGGGCAUGGGGUAGAUUUUGUGGCGGAUCGGCCUUUCUUAUUUGCCGUGGUAGAGGAGGGGACAGACGCAGUGUUGUUUCUUGGUCACGUGGCUAAUCCUCUCGCUCAUUAA
rnacentral:rRNA from 1 species